rnacentral:lncRNA from 1 species
CUCCCCCAGCUCAGCUUACGACCUCACCGUGUGACCUUUGGCCUACCUUGGUCAUCUCUCCAGGGGGCUGGGUCCAGUGGGCUUUUGGAGGUGGCAGAAUAUGUAGAUGUGGUGUGGCAGGACAGCACAGUGGUGCCAAACAGCAGCUCCAGGCUACCCAAAUUGGAUCCCAACUCUGGCGCAGAUGGGGAAACUGAGACUGAGGUUAAACGACUCACUCAAGGUCCAGCAGGUGGCCUGGGGCCCUGUGUUCACCAGACAUGGAACCAACGCCAGAAAGACUAGAGCUACACAAGCACCAUCCCAUUCGGGGCAAGCCCAGCCCAGUGGGCUGAGAGCAGAGACCAUGUUCCUUCAAGUAUCCUGGAAGCUCGACCACAAGAAAGCAACACUUCAGCUACAGCGUGCCUUGCUGUCACCUGUUAAUGCAUGUACACAUCCAUAUGGGUGUGCGCACAAAACACCGUGAAAUAAAAAUGCCUCUCAGAUGUACUGCCCUAUAAUGAAUCAAUAUUGUCUGGGCAGCUCAAAAAGAAGUAUGGCAUACCUAUUUAUUAAGUCCAAA